AUUGAACGCUGGCGGAAUGCUUUACACAUGCAAGUCGAACGGCAGCACGGGGCAACCUGGUGGCGAGUGGCGAACGGGUGAGUAAUACAUCGGAACGUGCCCAAUCGUGGGGGAUAACGUAGCGAAAGUUACGCUAAUACCGCAUACGAUCUACGGAUGAAAGCGGGGGAUCGCAAGACCUCGCGCGAAUGGAGCGGCCGAUGUCAGAUUAGGUAGUUGGUGGGGUAAAAGCCUACCAAGGCGACGAUCCGUAGCGGGUCUGAGAGGAUGAUCCGCCACACUGGGACUGAGACACGGCCCAGACUCCUACGGGAGGCAGCAGUGGGGAAUUUUGGACAAUGGGCGGAAGCCUGAUCCAGCCAUGCCGCGUGAGUGAAGAAGGCCUCGGGUUGGUUAAAGG
rnacentral:rRNA from 1 species